rnacentral:rRNA from 1 species
AUGUUGGCUUAGAAGCAGCCAUCAUUUAAAGAAAGCGUAAUAGCUCACUGAUCGAGUCGUCCUGCGCGGAAGAUGUAACGGGGCUAAGCCAGUCACCGAAGCUGCGGAUAUUGUUCUGUGAUUUAUCACAGAUAUAUAUGGUAGGAGAGCGUUCUGUAAGCCUGCGAAGGUGUCUUGUAAAGGAUGCUGGAGGUAUCAGAAGUGCGAAUGCUGACAUGAGUAGCGAUAAUGGGGGUGAAAAGCCUCCACGCCGUAAGCCCAAGGUUUCCUGUUCAACGUUCAUCGGAGCAGGGUGAGUCGGCCCCUAAGGCGAGGCAGAGAUGCGUAGCUGAUGGGAAGCAGGUUAAUAUUCCUGCACCGUCGUAUGAUGCGAUGGGGGGACGGAUCGCGGAAGGUUGUCUGACUGUUGGAAUAGUCAGUUUCUGUCUCAUAGAAGGCGCUUAGGCAAAUCCGGGCGCGGAAUUCAAGGGGAUGGGACGAGUGCACUUGUGCACGAAGCAAUCGGAAGUGGUUCCAAGAAAAGCCUCUAAGCUUCAGUCAUACGAGACCGUACCGCAAACCGACACAGGUGGGCGAGAUGAGUAUUCUAAGGCGCUUGAGAG